CUCCGGUUGAUCCUGCCGGACCCGACUGCUAUCAGAGUGGGACUAAGCCAUGCGAGUCAACAUAGCAAUAUGUGGCAUACGGCCCAGUAACACGUAGUCAACAUGCCCAGGGGACGUGGAUAACCUCGGGAAACUGAGGAUAAACCGCGAUAGGUCAUCACUUCUGGAAUGGGUAAUGACUUAAAUCUAUAUGGCCCCUGGAUUGGACUGCGGCCGAUCAGGCUGUUGGUGAGGUAAUGGCCCACCAAACCUGUAACCGGUACGGGCUCUGAGAGGAGGAGCCCGGAGAUGGGCACUGAGACAAGGGCCCAGGCCCUAUGGGGCGCAGCAGGCGCGAAACCUCUGCAAUAGGCGAAAGCUUGACAGGGUUACUCUGAGUGAUUUCCGUUAAGGAGAUCUUUUGGCACCUCUAAAAAUGGUGCAGAAUAAGGGGUGGGCAAGUCUGGUGUCAGCCGCCGCGGUAAUACCAGCACCCCGAGUGGUCGGGACGUUUAUUGGGCCUAAAGCAUCCGUAGCCGGUUCUACAAGUCUUCCGUUAAAUCCACCUGCUUAACAGAUGGGCUGCGGAAGAUACUAUAGAGCUAGGAGGCGGGAGAGGCAAGCGGUACUCGAUGGGUAGGGGUAAAAUCCGUUGAUCCAUUGAAGACCACCAGUGGCGAAGGCGGCUUGCCAGAACGCGCUCGACGGUGAGGGAUGAAAGCUGGGGGAGCAAACCGGAUUAGAUACCCGGGUAGUCCCAGCUGUAAACGAUGCAGACUCGGUGAUGAGUUGGCUUAUUGCUAACUCAGUGCCGCAGGGAAGCCGUUAAGUUUGCCGCCUGGGGAGUACGGUCGCAAGACUGAAACUUAAAGGAAUUGGCGGGGGAGCA
rnacentral:rRNA from 1 species